rnacentral:rRNA from 1 species
UACGUAGGGUGCGAGCGUUGCCCGGAAUUAUUGGGCGUAAAGAGCUUGUAGGCGGUCUGUCGCGUCUGCUGUGAAAAUCCGGGGCUCAACCCCGGACUUGCAGUGGGUACGGGCAGACUAGAGUGUGGUAGGGGAGACUGGAAUUCCUGGUGUAGCGGUGAAAUGCGCAGAUAUCGGGGAGGAACACCAGUGGCGAAGGCGGCACUCUGGGCCGGAAC